AUACAUGCAAGUCGAGCGAAUCGAUGGGAGCUUGCUCCCUGAGAUUAGCGGCGGACGGGUGAGUAACACGUGGGCAACCUGCCUAUAAGACUGGGAUAACUUCGGGAAACCGGAGCUAAUACCGGAUACGUUCUUUUCUCGCAUGAGAGAAGAUGGAAAGACGGUUUACGCUGUCACUUAUAGAUGGGCCCGCGGCGCAUUAGCUAGUUGGUGAGGUAAUGGCUCACCAAGGCGACGAUGCGUAGCCGACCUGAGAGGGUGAUCGGCCACACUGGGACUGAGACACGGCCCAGACUCCUACGGGAGGCAGCAGUAGGGAAUCUUCCGCAAUGGACGAAAGUCUGACGGAGCAACGCCGCGUGAACGAAGAAGGCCUUCGGGUCGUAAAGUUCUGUUGUUAGGGAAGAACAAGUACCAGAGUAACUGCUGGUACCUUGACGGUACCUAACCAGAAAGCCACGGCUAACUACGUGCCAGCAGCCGCGGUAAUACGUAGGUGGCAAGCGUUGUCCGGAAUUAUUGGGCGUAAAGCGCGCGCAGGUGGUUCCUUAAGUCUGAUGUGAAAGCCCACGGCUCAACCGUGGAGGGUCAUUGGAAACUGGGGAACUUGAGUGCAGAAGAGGAAAGUGGAAUUCCAAGUGUAGCGGUGAAAUGCGUAGAGAUUUGGAGGAACACCAGUGGCGAAGGCGACUUUCUGGUCUGUAACUGACACUGAGGCGCGAAAGCGUGGGGAGCAAACAGGA
rnacentral:rRNA from 2 species